GGUCUUAUAUUCAAAAGAUGAUGAUAUUAGAAUGCAAUUCUGAAAGUGUAGUAAUUACUAAGGCUU
rnacentral:tRNA from 1 species